CCCGCUGAACUUAAGCAUAUCAAUAAGCGGAGGAAAAGAAACUAACAAGGAUUCCCCUAGUAACUGCGAGUGAAGCGGGAAAAGCUCAAAUUUGAAAUCUGGUGGUCUUUGGCCAUCCGAGUUGUAAUUUAGAGAAGCGUCUUCCGCGCUGGACCGUGCACAAGUCUCCUGGAACGGAGCGUCGUAGAGGGUGAGAAUCCCGUCUUUGGCACGGACACACCAGGGCUUUUGCGAUGCGCUCUCGAAGAGUCGAGUUGUUUGGGAAUGCAGCUCAAAAUGGGUGGUGAACUCCAUCUAAAGCUAAAUAUUGGCGAGAGACCGAUAGCGAACAAGUACCGUGAGGGAAAGAUGAAAAGCACUUUGGAAAGAGAGUGAGACAGUACGUGAAAUUGUUGAAAGGGAAACGCUUGAAGUCAGUCGCGUCGUCCGAGACUCAGCCUCGCCUCGGCUUGGCGUACUUCUCGGCCCGACGGGUCAGCAUCGAUUUCGCCUCUCGGAUAAUGGCGAGGGAAAAGUGACACCUUUACGGUGUGUUAUAGUCUCUCGUCGCAUGCGAGGGUCGGGAUUGAGGAACUCAGCACGCGCCCUCGGGCGUCGGGGCUUUCGCCCACGAUACGUGCUUAGGAUGUUGGCGUAAUGGCUUUAAACGACCCGUCUUGAAACACGG
rnacentral:rRNA from 1 species